rnacentral:rRNA from 1 species
CACGCCGCGUGAGUGAUGAAGGUCUUCGGAUCGUAAAACUCUGUUAUUAGGGAAGAACAAACGUGUAAGUAACUGUGCACGUCUUGACGGUACCUAAUCAGAAAGCCACGGCUAACUACGUGCCAGCAGCCGCGGUAAUACGUAGGUGGCAAGCGUUAUCCGGAAUUAUUGGGCGUAAAGCGCGCGUAGGCGGUUUUUUAAGUCUGAUGUGAAAGCCCACGGCUCAACCGUGGAGGGUCAUUGGAAACUGGAAAACUUGAGUGCAGAAGAGGAAAGUGGAAUUCCAUGUGUAGCGGUGAAAUGCGCAGAGAUAUGGAGGAACACCAGUGGCGAAGGCGACUUUCUGGUCUGUAACUGACGCUGAUGUGCGAAAGCGUGGGGAUCAAACAGGAUUAGAUACCCUGGUAGUCCACGCCGUAAACGAUGAGUGCUAAGUGUUAGGGGGUUUCCGCCCCUUAGUGCUGCAGCUAACGCAUUAAGCACUCCGCCUGGGGAGUACGACCGCAAGGUUGAAACUUAAAGGAAUUGACGG